ensembl:lncRNA
AUGCAGAGGAAAUGCAGAAGCUUCAUCGUGUGGUCAGUGUUUCUGGCCUGUUUCAUUUUGACCCAGCCUGACAGGUGUGGAAUCCCAGGUGUCACUUCUAAAGGUAUAAAAGGCAAAGCACAAUGUCACAUCAGCAUCUCACAGCAUCUCAGCUUCAGCUGCACUCGCUGGAAAACAGAAAAAAUGGUCUGGAUUAAAUUCACCAUCAUUUGCACGCUCAUAUCUCUGCUGGAAGCCCAUAAGGAGUGCACAAGACACAUAAAAUGGGCGCAUCUCAUCCAGUCUUUAAAUUCAAUGGGCACUGCGAUAUCUCAUGAUUGUGCAUUUGAAUAUGAAGAAGCCAGUCUGUGUGAUCCACAUCACCUGGCCAAUAUGGUGGAUCAUAAUGCAAUCCUUCUGGUCGACAUUGUCAAGAAAACAGAAACAAUGUACAGGGAGAACCCAAACCCAAAGACGUUUAUCGAGGCCCUUCAUCACACCCGUUAUACUCUGAGAAACUGUGUUCAUAACUCUGACGCUGCUGAAAAUGAGCAUGUGACCACAUGCUUCAAUAAACUAGAAGCUUUUCUAAAGAAAAAGUCCCACUCACAGUGUGCAUGGGAAAUCAUUAAUUCAAAAGUGAGGGAGGUUCUUCAGAGGCUGAAACGCUCCGUCAUAAGGCGACGUUAGAGACUUUCUUAUGAAUGUCUUUAUUAUGCAUGCAUUAAUGGAUAUAUUUUAUUGCAAAUAAGGUAUGCUAUUUUAUAAGCUCGAUGGAUAUAUGUAUAUAUUUUAAGAAGUGCACAUUAUAUACAAAACGUGACAAAAAAAUCAUGAUUUAUUGAGUCGUGAACAGAUUAUUGCUGUGUGAGAUAAUCUUGAUCGAGAUGUAGUAGUAAAAAUAUACAUAGUUUUUCUAAUAAAGUUGUUAUGAAAUGCA